UAAGGAAUAUUGGUCAAUGGACGCAAGUCUGAACCAGCCAUGCCGCGUGAAGGAUGAAGGUCCUCUGGAUUGUAAACUUCUUUUAUCUGGGACGAAAACGGGAUUUUUAUCUCAAUUGACGGUACCAGAGGAAUAAGCACCGGCUAACUCCGUGCCAGCAGCCGCGGUAAUACGGAGGGUGCGAGCGUUAUCCGGAUUUACUGGGUUUAAAGGGUGCGUAGGUGGGCUUAUAAGUCAGUGGUGAAAUCUCCGAGCUUAACUUGGAAACUGCCUGUGNUACCAUAGGUCUUGAAUUAUCUGGAGGUAAGCGGAAUAUGUCAUGUAGCGGUGAAAUGCUUAGAUAUGACAUAGAACACCAAUUGCGAAGGCAGCUUACUACAUAUAAAUUGACGCUGAGGCACGAAAGCGUGGGGAU
rnacentral:rRNA from 1 species